rnacentral:rRNA from 1 species
GAUCCUGGCUCAGGAUGAACGCUAGCGGCAGGCUUAACACAUGCAAGUCGAGGGGCAGCAUAAUGGUAGUAAUACUAUUGAUGGCGACCGGCGGACGGGUGCGUAACGCGUAUGCAACCUACCCUUUACAGGGGGAUAACACUGAGAAAUCGGUACUAAAUACCCCAUAAUAUUCUGGGAGGCAUCUUUCGGAGUUGAAAGCUUUGGUGGUAAAGGAUGGGCAUGCGUUGUAUUAGCUAGUUGGUAAGGUAACGG